GACGAGCCACACGAACGUUAUUCGGAAUUACUGGGCUUAAAGGGUGCGUAGGCGGUGCGGAAAGUUGGGUGUGAAAUCCCUCGGCUCAACCGAGGAACUGCGCCCAAAACUACCGUACUUGAGGAAGAUAGAGGUGAGCGGAACUCACGAUGGAGCGGUGAAAUGCGUUGAUAUCGUGAGGAACACCCGUGGCGAAAGCGGCUCACUGGGUCUUUUCUGACGCUGAUGCACGAAAGCUAGGGGAGCAAACGGG
rnacentral:rRNA from 1 species